rnacentral:lncRNA from 1 species
ACCUGAUUUAUAGCUUUCCUCUUCCAAAAUCCUAUGCUCAAACGCUCCUGGCUAUUCUACUUUAAAAGAGGGGUUAAUUAUCAUUUUUUAUAUUGGUUUUCAAUCUGGCAAGAUUAUUAUGGUCCUAUCCAUGAAAUCUUACCAGCAGCAGUCCAAGAAGGCCUUGAAACCUAUACUCAAAAAAUAUUUCUACUUGGUAGAGAUCAAAAAUUUUCAAUCCUCUUGAAGUUUUUCUCUAAAUUUGUAUUAGCCUGGAUCAUUUGUUGGGAAUAUACAUUCAUCCAGCAUCCAACUUCAUCAAUUUUGGAAAGAAAAUGUAAAGUCAAAUGAUGGCA